UACGUAGGGUGCAAGCGUUGUCCGGAAUUAUUGGGCGUAAAGGGCUCGUAGGCGGUCCAUCGCGUCGGGAGUGAAAAGCUGGGGCUCAACCCCAGUCCUGCUUCCGAUACGGGUGGACUAGAGGUAUGCAGGGGAGAACGGAAUUCCUGGUGUAGCGGUGAAAUGCGCAGAUAUCAGGAGGAACACCGGUGGCGAAGGCGGAUCUCUGGGCCGAUACUGACGCUGAGGAGCGAAAGCGUGGGGAGCGAACAGG
rnacentral:rRNA from 1 species